UUUGAUCUGUCUGGGAGUUCUCCACCCCCCAUUUCCCCCUCAUUUGUUCCCUUCAGCCCCAUUGUGACCUUUCUCUAUUCUUUCCUCACCCCAGUUCUUUCUCUUCCUUGUUCAUGUUGCAGCCUCACGUCUGCUCUAACUUUUCUGCCUCCGACCUCAGGUAGGUUUGGUCUCGGAAGGGCUAAGACGACCGCCACUAACUGACACCUAGGGGCUUUGUAAACCUUUGCCAAUCCACUUCCCUUCUCAGAGGGUUAAAACUAGAUGGUGUGUCAGGCCUCCUGCCCCUUGAAAUCUAUGACCCCAAAUGGGUAUAAUUAAACCGGUGCUAAAGGUGAGGAAGGGUCCUUUGGAGACCUUUAAGUGCAAUAAAAAGUGACACUUCCUUCUAUCUAUGCCCUUUUUAGAUCAGUCUCUUGUUCUUUCCUCUCUCCUUUCUCUACCUUUACUCAUCUCUUGUCUUUCUCCUCUUCCUCCCCCCCCCCCCACACACACACACAUCACCGUUCUCUUCUCUAGCUCCCCGACUCUCCCCGCCCCCAGUCCCGGCUGUGCUCUGGCCCUAGCCCAGUUCCCUGCCUUGGAGGGCCCUCCCCCUUCCCUGAUCCUGGCCCUGUUGGCCCCUCCCCACCGGGCGGCCUGGGAAAUGCCUAAGGGGCCCCGUGAGCUGGAGAGGUGAGUGUGUGUGUGUGUGCCUUUCCUCGUUCGCUUGCUCUCUCUCUCUCUCUCUCUCUCUCUUGCUCGCUUGUCAGCGUCAUGUGCCCAGCAGGGCAGCCCCAGACUGGUUCCCGGCGGCCGUAUUAAGGUCACACACUCACCGUGCAGCCCCACACAGCCCAGCCCGGCCCGGCGCGGCGCAGCGCUGCCCAGCCCAGCCCCACUCAGCUCAGCCCAGACCAGAGCAGCGCAGAGCAGCACAUUGGUGCGCAGCACGGCACAGCGCGGCUCCGCUCGGCGCAGCUCGGCUCCGCUCAGCCCCUCAGAGGAGCGAGGAGCGAGGAGCUCUGAUCGCUCCCCUCUGCUCAGCCUAGCUCCACUCCGCUCCUCUCCCCUCCCCUGGUUGGCGCCCCGGCGGUGACUCAGAGGCUUGAGAACAUGUGGAAGUUGCUGAGAGGCAGCUUUGGAUUCAGUCUUUAGAGGAACUUCUACCCCUGAGGUGGUGCACUGUGGCCUAGGCUCCAUGGACUGGUGGUAGUGAGUUCCCCAUCACUGGAGGUCUUCAGCUCUCCAGUUCUGCAAUCACAGACCAUGAUCAGACCAACUCUGCCAUUGUUCCUAGAUGGGAUGCAUCAGUCUGUCCUGGCCCUAAUAAUCACUGGAUCAAAGUCUACCUCCCCCCCACCCCCCAACACUUACAGGUGCUACAGUGGAUGAAUCUGGACUUGGAAACAGGAAAACAAGUUUGAAUUGUGCCUCAGACCAUCUCUAGUUGAGUUGAGCCUGGGCAAGUCAUCUGACUUCUCUGAGCCUCAGCGUUUUCAUCUAUAAAAUGGAGAUAGUAAAAGCAUCUACCUCACCAGGAUGUUGUGAGGCUCCAAUUAAAUAACCUAUCUAAAGCUCUUUGUAAACCUUAAAGAGUUAUAAAUGUUGCUGUUAUUAUUAUCUCUAUGUGAUGCCUGCAUUGGAAUGUAGAUUCCUUGAAGGCAGGAACUGUCCUUGCUUUUGUAUUUAUAUCCCUGGCACCUAGCACAGUACUUGGCAUGUGAUAAGCAUUAAGUAUUUUUUCAUUCAUUCGUGCCAUUCAAGAGCUUUCUUUUACAGAGAAGUAAAUUGAGACCCUGAAGAUGGAAAUGGACUUGUUCAAGGUCACAUAGAGUGAGUAGUAGGGAAGUGACUUGAACCUGUCAUGUGCUUGUUCUUUUUAAAACCCUUACCUUCUGCCUUUGAAUUGAUACUAAGUACUGGUUCCAAGGCAGAAGAGCAGUAAU